ACGGGAGGCAGCAGUGGGGAAUAUUGCACAAUGGGCGCAAGCCUGAUGCAGCGAUGCCGCGUGAGGGAAGAAGGUUUUCGGAUUGUAAACCUCUGUCAACAGGGACGAAAAUGACGGUACCUGUGAAGGAAGCUCCGGCUAACUACGUGCCAGCAGCCGCGGUAAUACGUAGGGGGCAAGCGUUAUCCGGAUUUACUGGGUGUAAAGGGAGCGUAGACGGUUCUGCAAGUCUGAUGUGAAAGGCAGGGGCUCAACUCCUGGACUGCAUUGGAAACUGUAGAACUAGAGUGCCGGAGAGGUAAGCGGAAUUCCUAGUGUAGCGGUGAAAUGCGUAGAUAUUAGGAGGAACACCAGUGGCGAAGGCGGCUUACUGGACGGUAACUGACGUUGAGGCUCGAAAGCGUGGGGAGCAAACAGGAUUAGAUACCCUGGUA
rnacentral:rRNA from 1 species